rnacentral:tmRNA from 1 species
GGGGGCGACUUGGUUUCGACGUGGGUAACGAAGCAGCGCAGGGCAUGCCAAGGUCCAGUCACCUUGUAAAUCCGCUGGACAACCUUAAACGCCAACGACGAGCGUUACGCUCUCGCCGCCUAACACCGGCGAGACGCUGCACUAGCCUGCUGAUGGGCUAGGCCGGAGGGAUAGACGAGGCGCAAGCCGGAUUUGUUCUGACGGUGCAGCGUCAUUUACAUCAGCCUCUCCGCCCGGUCUGGUCGCUUGGCCAGGCGGAUCCGUCGAAGCGACUGGCUGAGCGCCAGCCUGCCGGCCGGCGGGCGCGAGGCGAGACCCAAAUGACCAGGCUAAGCAUGUAGUCCUGACUGUGGAGGGCUCGCGGACGCGAGUUCGAUUCUCGCCGCCUCCACCA